UACAGAGGGUGCAAGCGUUAAUCGGAUUUACUGGGCGUAAAGGGUGCGUAGGUGGUUUUGUAAGUCGGAUGUGAAAGCCCGGGGCUCAACCUCGGAAUUGCAUUCGAUACUGCGAGACUAGAGUUCGGUAGAGGGCGGCGGAAUUCCCGGUGUAGCGGUGAAAUGCGUAGAUAUCGGGAGGAACAUCAAUGGCGAAGGCAGCCGCCUGGGCCUGGACUGACACUGAGGCACGAAGGCGUGGG
rnacentral:rRNA from 1 species